rnacentral:rRNA from 1 species
GUUGACCUCGGAUCAGGUAGGGAUACCCGCUAAACUUAA